AGAUGUCCAAGUGAUCUGGCUGUGAAAUCUGUCACAGCGCUGAGUGGCAGGGUUGGUUUGGCUGAUCUCGUUCGGCUAGGUGGGUGUCCCCUUUCUCCCUCACUGCUCCAUGCAGGCGCCUCCAGAAGCUGGGUGUGAUGUUGAAGAAAGCAACCUUCCCUGAACAGAAGAACUCAUCUUCCAUCAAAGGUACAUGGAUAGCUGUGCUCUCUCCUGCUACAGCCUCCAAACAAGUUAUCAAAAAUGCAAAGGUAUUGGGUGAGUUUUAACCCCCCCCCCUGGGUGGGGAGGGGGAGGAGGUAGGCUGUAUGGUCAGCAGAUGAUAAAGCUGGCUGUGGAGAUCAGAGCCAGCUCUAG
rnacentral:snRNA from 1 species